GACGAACGCUGGCGGCACGCUUAACACAUGCAAGUCGAACGAGAGAAGAGAAGCUUGCUUUUCUGAUCUAGUGGCGGACGGGUGAGUAACACGUGAGCAAUCUGCCUUUCAGAGGGGGAUACCGCUUGGAAACGAUCGUUAAUACCGCAUAACAUAAUUGAACCGCAUGAUUUGAUUAUCAAAGAUUUAUCGCUGAAAGAUGAGCUCGCGUCUGAUUAGCUAGUUGGUAAGGUAACGGCUUACCAAGGCGACGAUCAGUAGCCGGACGGCGAGGUUGAUCGGCCACAUUGGGACUGAGACACGGCCCAGACUCCUACGGGAGGCAGCGGUGGGGAAUAUUGCACAAUGGAGGAAACUCUGAUGCAGCGAUGCCGCGUGAGGGAAGAAGGUUUUAGGAUUGUAAACCUCUGUCUUCAGGGACGAAAAAAGACGGUACCUGAGGAGGAAGCUCCGGCUAACUACGUG
rnacentral:rRNA from 1 species